rnacentral:rRNA from 1 species
AGCGAACGCUGGCGGCGUGCCUCAGACAUGCAAGUCGAACGAUUAAAGCUCUCUUCGGAGAGUGCAUAAAGUGGCGCACGGGUGAGUAACACGUAAGUAAUCUACCUUCGAGUGGGGAAUAACGUCCGGAAACGGACGCUAAUACCGCAUAAUGCAGCGGCAUCGCAAGAUGACAGUUGUUAAAGGAGCAAUUCGCUUGAAGAGGAGCUUGCGGCAGAUUAGCUAGUUGGUAAGGUAAUGGCUUACCAAGGCUACGAUCUGUAACCGGUCUAAGAGGACGGUCGGUCACACUGACACUGAAUAACGGGUCAGACUCCUACGGGAGGCAGCGGUCGGGAAUUUUGGGCAAUGGGCGAAAGCCUGACCCAGCAACGCCGCGUGAAGGAUGAAGUAUUUCGGUAUGUAAACUUCGAAAGAAUGGGAAGAAUCAAUGACGGUACCAUUUAUAAGGUCCGGCUAACUACGUGCCAGCCGCCGCAGUAAAAC